rnacentral:lncRNA from 1 species
GGGGGAUAGCACCACCUGGGAGCCUGUGGAGAGGGUCUCCAGUGGGCGAGGUGGUGAAAGUGAGAUGGAGAUGGGUGGGAAAACGUUUGUCUAGGAACUGGGGUGCCGAGAGAAAGCAAGGGAAGGAGCUGGGAGGCAGGAGGUAAGAAGAGGGGCUGGGGGGUCCGCAAAGUGUUGCCAGAGCGUUCAGAGUUGGGCAGCUGUCUGGGGCUGGAGGCGCAGACUGGAUUGAGGGGAACAGCUCCCUUCAUGUAGGGGCUGCUGGUGGGCACAGUAGCCUACGACGGGGAGUGAGCACAGUGAGGAGGUGAGGAAGACGGGGGUCUCGAGUGCCUCUCCCCCACUAAAGCCAUUGAUGCCAGGAGGAGCCCGGGACAAUCUGAUUCCGGGCAGGGCGCUACUCCUGCCGGCUGGAGCGCUCUGGAAGGCGGGCAAGUUGGUUCCAAGGACGCACAGCCCUCAACAUCCUUUAGCCCACCGCUGGAUAGAGCAAGGCAGCAGCGGACACUUUUUUUCCUAACUCUGUUCAAGGGACUUUGGGCUAAGAGAGCAACAUCUCGCCGUGUCCCGAGACUGAGACUGCAAGGUGGUCGUGGACCGUCCAGGUUACCAACACUGUUUACUCAGCAAAAGAAAUAAAGGCAACAGCAACCAAAUAGGACGGGAAGAAAGCCAGACAACAACACAGAACACUUUCCGGGGCAGUCCGAGUUUCUCCUAAGCACUCAGACGACAGAGGUGCCCUGUGAAUGGGACGGCAACCUACACCCAUCCGUUCUGUGAUCCCUGCCCUGGAGAGAUUGCACUAGGCAAAAGGUUUCCAUGCAUGGGAGAGACUUCUUUUUAGACUCCAGUGCUGACCUAUCUCUGACCUGACUGGCUCCUGAGAUCUCUUCAGUGAAAAAUGACGAGAAGCCCAAAGAGAUGUAUUUGCGUCGCAUGACUGUCUAUCCAGUGAGUCUGACUAUUCUGACAAUUCUUCCUUAACAAGAAUAUGGGUGUAUUUCAUCCCUUGGAAUAUUUUAUAUUAUCACCUGGAUUUUGGAACUUUCUAUCUCUUUGGUUUUAUGAAGGUAUAAAUAGAUCAACAUUUAAGCUCAUUUAACCUUUUCCAAAGCAAAAAGGCUCCAAGUGCUUUACUGUUGCAUUGGACAAGUCAGAAGCUAUAAUAGAGGUGCAAGAACUUCUACUUAUAUGAGGAACUAGAGACUGUAGGUGUAACUCAGCCAUGGUGUUACUCUGUGCUUGCGUAAUUUUAGCACUUAAUUCUGAUUAAGGGCUUUUGGGAAGCAGUAAUGUGAAGUGCUGAACGGUACCUUUCUUUGCUUAGGGUUUUGAGUUUUUGCUUGUGGAGUAGUUUUUAUGAAAUUUGGGGGCAUAUGAGAUUAUCUUGUGAAAACUGAUGGCCAUUACUUUCCUUCAGUUUUAUUACUCACUGUGUGUAUAUGUAGCUAAUCCUUAGGUAUUCUUAUUUAUAUCAGGGGAAUGAUAAUGGCAUCCAUGGUCAGCAGCUGUUUCUUGCCACAGGCGAAGUGGGCAUAUUAGAUAUUACUAAUAUCUUACUGCAUAAACCAAAAAAAACCUGUAAGAUAUUUGUGCCUAGAGAUCAAGAGUACAAAUUAAGAAGCUUGGCACCUGUUUAAAGACUGCACAUCUUUGUAUCCAUUUUAAUGUAAUUGGAGAUUUGUUUCUUCUUUGAGAAUACACUCUCUCUUCUUUUGGCAAAUGUCUCUCUCUCUCUCUCUUUUUCUUUUUUUUUUUAUCAGUAGCAUAUGUCUGACUCCUGGUUCAUUCAGAAACACAAGGAAUAUGGCAUAAUAAUGUUUGUAAAUUUAAACUAACAAAGCAGUCUUUCUGCUUUUGAGUCAAAUGAAAAAUUUUGAGUAGAGAAUAUUGACUUACCUCUCAUCAAAAUUCAACAGAAAAAAAAAAUGUUUGCUUCAGUAGCAAACAGAGAACAUGUGUAGAAUCAGUGAAAAUAAGUAAAGUGGCUGAGGUGACAAAGUUUAUCUACAUGUGGGAACCUUUCAUGGUUUGGCAGCAAUUCAGGUGAACAGCAAUCUUGGGAUUCCUUUGUAAGAAUUAUCCUUCCAGUGACUGAUUCUGAUACUGUAUAAGUUCACAUAAGUUUUUAAAAUGGUUGAUAUCAACAAAGAAGCUUGCUAGAAUUUCAUUAGGGUUAUCUUACAGCUCUAGAUCAAAUUGGGAAUAAUUGACGUCUUAACCAUUUUGAUUUUUCCAAUCUGUGAACAUUUAUUCUGCAUUUAUUUUGAUAUUCUUUGAUUUCUCUUAGCAGUAUUUCAUAGUUCUUCUGCAUAGAGGUCCUAUAUAUUCUUUGUUAGAUUUAUACAUAAUUCAUUUUUUUAUUGUUUAGAUAUAAUGGAAAAAAAUAAAAAUCAUUAUAGUAAAAAAAGUAAACAUGGGAGAAAUAUAGACAAAUAUUUACUGAUUAAAUCAAUAGCAAUAAAAAUAUAUAAACAUAAUUCAUUUUUUGAUGGUGCUUCACAUGUUUAAUUUUUUUGCUUUCUAUUACAGUUACUAAUAUUAGUAUAUAGGAUAUCAACAAACUUUGUAUGCUGACCUUGUUUUCCUGAGUCUUUGCUUUAAUUCACUUGUUAGUUCCAGGAGGUUUUCAUAGAUUCUGGGGUUUUCCACAUAGACAAUCAUGUUAUCUGCCAACAAAGAGAGUUCUAUGUCUUCCUUUGUAGUAUGUGCUUACUUUACUGAAGUAGCUAGGACUUAUAGUACAAUGCUGAACAUGAGAAGUGAGAAAGAAUACCCAUGACUUGGGACUGAUAUUGAAGGUAAAGCAUUCAGUCUCUUGGCAGUAAGUAUGACGUUAGCUAUAGAUUCUCUGCAUAUAUCCUUUGUAAGGUUAACAAGGUUACACUCCAAGUUUUGGGGAGUUUUGAUCAUGAAUGGAUUUUGAAGUUUGUGAAAUAAUUUUUUUUUAUACUUAUUAAUAUGAUUAUACAGUGUUUCUUUUUCAGCUUGCUAAUAUGAUAAAUUACAUUGAUUGAUUUGUUUGUGAAUAUUAAACUAGCAUUGAAUUCCUAGGAUGAAUCCCUUUUAGGCAUGAUAUAUUAUCCCAUUUAUAUAUCACUGAGUUUUAUUUCACAUAUUUUGUUAGGAAUCUUUACUUCUAAGUUCAUGAGUGAUCUUGGUCUUCAGUUUUCUUUUGUUGUAAUGUUUUUAAUCUGAUUUUGAUAUUAGUGGGACUGUGACUUCAUAAAAUGAAUUGUAAAUAUUCCCUUCUUUUCUAUUUUUUGAAAGAGGUUGUGUAGAAUUGGUACUGCAUUUUCCUUAAAUAUUUGGAUAAAUUCAUCAGUGAAACCAUCUGGGUUUGGUAUUUUUUCCUUUCUCAUUUUGUGGAGGGUUUUAAAGUAAUAAUUUAAUUUCCUUAAUGCAUAUAGUGCUAUUCAGAUUAUCUCUUUCUCCUGGAGUGGAUUUUGGCUAGUUUGUGUCUUUUAAAGAAUUGUUUCACUUCAUCUAAAUUUUUGAAUUUAUUCUCAUAGACUUCUUUUCUUUUUUUGUCUUUCUGUCUUUUCUAGGGCUGCACCUGCUGCAUGUGGAGGUUCCCAGGCUAGGGGUCUAAUCGGAGCUGUAGCCACUGGCCUACACCAGAGCCAUAGCAAUGUGGAAUCUGAGCCGCGUCUGCAACCUAUACCACAGCUCACGGUAACACUGUAUCCUUAACCCACUAAGCGAGUCCAGGGAUCAAACCCUCAAUCUCAUGGUUCCUAGUCGGAUUCAUUAACCACUGAGCCAUAAUGGGAACUCCUCAUAGACUUGUUCUUAACCUUACUUUAUCAUUUAAUGUAUGUGGGAUAAGUAGUGAUAGACCCUCUUUCAUUUUUUAUAUUGGUAAUUUUUGUCUUUCCCUUUUUUCCUUAGCCUAGAUAGAAAUUUGUCAGUUUUAUUGAUCUUGGUAAAUAACCAGAUGUUGUUUUCAUUGAUUUUAUCUAUUGUUUUCCUGUUUUUAAUUUAAUUAAUUUUGGCUCUCAUUUUUAUUAUUUCCAUUCUUCUGCUUGUUCUGGGUUUAAUUUUCACUUCCUUUUCUGGUUUCUUAAGAAGGAAGCCUAGGAUAUUGAUUGAUUGGUAAGUCCUUCUUGUUUUAAAAAUAUGUUCAUUUUAUACUUUAUAGCUGUCCUCUCAGCACUGCUUUAGCUACAUCCUACAAUGUUUGAUGUUAUAUUUGCAUUAUAAUUAAAUGCAAAAUAUUUACAAAUUUUCCUUGAUUUUCUUUUUAACCCAUUGGUUAUUUAGAGAUGUAUUGUUUAUUUUUCAAAUAUUUGAGCAUUUUGUAGUUUUGUUAGUGGCAUUUGGUUUAAUUCCAUUAUGGUAUCAGAACAUACUUCACAUGAUUUAUAUUCUGUUAUAUUAUUUAAGAUUUAUUUUAUUAAUCAUAUUAUAGUCCAUCUCAGUGACUAUUUAACACCCACUUGAGAAAAAUGUAUGUUUUAAUAUUGGUGUUCUUUAAAUGUGCAUAAUGCCAAGUUGGUUAAUAGCACUGUUCAAGGUUGUAUUUGUCCUUCCUGAAUUUUUGCCUAUUUGUCUGUGGUGAUGAAGUCUCCAGCUGUAAAAGUAUAUUUAUCUAUUUCUGUACUUAAUUCUACUAGUGCUUGUCUCAUGCAUUUUGAUACUCUACUGUUAGGUGCAUACUCAGAAUUGUUAUGUCUUCUUGGAGAAUUGACCCCUAUGUUAUUAUGUAAUAUCCUUUUUCUUCCUGAAUAUUUUCCUUAUUCUGAUGCUGGCCUGUAUAUCUACCUCAGCUUUCUUUCAUUUGUGUUUGCGUGGUAUAACUUCCUGUGCCCUUUACUUUAAAGGUUUUUUAUUGAAGUAAAUUUUCUACAGCAUAAACUCUGCAACUUUAAAGUGUCCUGUAGAGUGGUUUUUGAUAUAUUCACAAUGUUGUGUCACCAUCAGUAUUAUCUGAUUCCAGAAUAUUUCCAUUACCCCAAAAUAACUGCCAGGUCUGUUAGCAAUCAAUUUCAAAUCCCACCACCUUCCAACUCUUGGAAACUAACCUAGUUUAAGUUUCUAUGGUUUUGCCAAUUCUAGACAUAUCAUAUGAGAUGUAGCAUUUUGUUUCUUCUUUUUCUUUCUUUCUUUUUUUUUUUUUUUUUUGGCUACACCUGUGGCAUGUGAAAUUUCCUGGGCCAGGGAUCGAACCCGAGCCAUAGCAGUGACCCAGGCUGCUUCAGUGACAACUCUGGAUUUUUUGCCACUAUGCCACCAGGGAAUUUCCCCUUACUGUUUUCAUUUACCAUAAGGUUUGUAGGGUUUUCCACUGCAGCAUGUAUCAGAGCUUCAUUGCUUUUUAUGUCUGAUUAAUAUUGCAUUGUAUGGUUUUAUCAUGGGUUGCUCUUCAUCCACUCCUUAGUUGGGCAUUUGGAUUGUUUCAGUUUUUAGGCUGUUAUGAAUUUUUGUGAACAGGUUUUUUUUUGGUGAAAAUGUUUUUUCAAUGUCUUGGAUAUAUAUCUAGGAGUGGAAUUUUUGUGUGAUACGGUAAUUCUGUGUUUAACUUUUUGAGGAAAUACCUAACUACUUUCUACAGUGGCCCCAUUCCUUUAUUUUAAUCCAUAUAACUUUUUAUAUUUAUAUUGGGUUUAUUGUAGACAGUAUGGACUCAAGUAAUGUUUUUUAUCCAAUCUGAAAAAUCUGUUUUAACAAAAUGUAUUUAGAUUAUUCACAUUUAAAGUGAUUAGUGAUAAUUAAAUUAAAAUCUGCUGUCUUGCUAUUUUCUAUUAGUUGUGUUUUUGUUUUCUUCUUUUUCUAACUUCUCUCAUUUCACUUGAGCAUUUUUUGUGAUUCCAUUUUAUCUCAUAUAUUGACUUAUUCACACUUCAUUUUAAAACUUUUAAAAUGCUUUGUAAAUAUAAACCCUAGAAUUUACAAUAUACAUAAAUAAUCCAAAUCCUCAUUCAAAUAGUAUUAUACCUUUUCGUAUGUAGAAAAAUUAACUUAGAAUAUUCCCAGCCAAUCUCCAUUUUCAAUAAAAGUAAACUUUUCCUAGCAUUUACCAAGAUCAUCGUCUGACAAAACCACAAUGAAAUAAAUAUAAGCUUAUAUAAAAUAUUUUACAAAACUACUUCUUUUUUUUUUUUUUUUUUUUUUUUUUUGUCUUUUGUCUUUUGCUGUUGUUGCUAUUUCUUGGGCCGCUCCCGCGGCAUAUGGAGGUUCCCAGGCUAGGGGUUGAAUCGGAGCUGUAGCCACCGGCCUACGCCAGAGCAACGAGGGAUCCGAGCCGCAUCUGCAACCUACACCACAGCUCACGGCAACGCCGGAUCGUUAACCCACUGAGCAAGGACAGGGACCGAACCCCGCAACCUCAUGGUUCCUAGUCGGAUUCGUUAACCACUGCGCCACGACGGGAACUCCUACAAAACUACUUCUUCAAUUAAGUGGCUAAUUUAAUAUAAGUCUCUACUCAGUUUGGGAGUUCCUUCGUGGCUCUGUGGUUUGAGGAUCUGGUGCAGGUUCCAUCCCUGGCCUGGGAACUUCUGCAUACCAUUGGUGUAGCCAAAAAAAAAAAAAA